rnacentral:rRNA from 1 species
GAUGAACGCUGGCGGCGUGCCUAAUACAUGCAAGUCGAGCGAACAGACGAGGAUCUUGCUCCUCUGACGUUAGCGGCGGACGGGUGAGUAACACGUGGAUAACCUACCUAUAAGACUGGGAUAACUUCGGGAAACCGGAGCUAAUACCGGAUAACAUGUUGAACCGCAUGGUUCAACAGUGAAAGACGGUCUUGCUGUCACUUAUAGAUGUAUCCGCGCCGCAUUAGCUAGUUGGUAAGGUAACGGCUUACCAAGGCAACGAUGCGUAGCCGACCUGAGAGGGUGAUCGGCCACACUGGAACUGAGACACGGUCCAGACUCCUACGGGAGGCAGCAGUAGGGAAUCUUCCGAAAUGGGCGAAAGCCUGACGGAGCAACGCCGCGUGAGUGAAGAAGGUCUUCGGAUCGUAAAACUCUGUUAUUAGGGAAGAACAAAUGUGUAAGUAACUAUGCACGUCUUGACGGUACCUAAUCAGAAAGCCACGGCUAACUACGUG